rnacentral:rRNA from 1 species
UUGCGGCGUGCUUAACACAUGCAAGUCGAACGGAAAGGCCCUGCUUUUGUGGGGUGCUCGAGUGGCGAACGGGUGAGUAACACGUGAGUAACCUGCCCUUGACUUUGGGAUAACUUCAGGAAACUGGGGCUAAUACCGGAUAGGAGCUCCUGCUGCAUGGUGGGGGUUGGAAAGUUUCGGCGGUUGGGGAUGGACUCGCGGCUUAUCAGCUUGUUGGUGGGGUAGUGGCUUACCAAGGCUUUGACGGGUAGCCGGCCUGAGAGGGUGACCGGCCACAUUGGGACUGAGAUACGGCCCAGACUCCUACGGGAGGCAGCAGUGGGGAAUAUUGCACAAUGGGCGGAAGCCUGAUGCAGCAACGCCGCGUGCGGGAUGACGGCCUUCGGGUUGUAAACCGCUUUCGCCUGUGACGAAGCGUGAGUGACGGUAAUGGGUAAAGAAGCACCGGCUAACUACGUGCCAGCAGCCGCGGUGAUACGUAGGGUGCGAGCGUUGUCCGGAUUUAUUGGGCGUAAAGGGCUCGUAGGUGGUUGAUCGCGUCGGAAGUGUAAUCUUGGGGCUUAACCCUGAGCGUGCUUUCGAUACGGGUUGACUUGAGGAAGGUAGGGGAGAAUGGAAUUCCUGGUGGAGCGGUGGAAUGCGCAGAUAUCAGGAGGAACACCAGUGGCGAAGGCGGUUCUCUGGGCCUUUCCUGACGCUGAGGAGCGAAAGCGUGGGGAGCGAACAGGCUUAGAUACCCUGGUAGUCCACGCUGUAAACGGUGGGUACUAGGUGUGGGGUCCAUUCCACGGGUUCCGUGCCGUAGCUAACGCUUUAAGUACCCCGCCUGGGGAGUACGGCCGCAAGGCUAAAACUCAAAGGAAUUGACGGGGCCCCGCACAAGCGGCGGAGCAUGCGGAUUAAUUCGAUGCAACGCGUAGAACCUUACCUGGGUUUGACAUGGAUCGGGAGUGCUCAGAGAUGGGUGUGCCUCCUUUGGGGUCGGUUCACAGGUGGUGCAUGGCUGUCGUCAGCUCGUGUCGUGAGAUGUUGGGUUAAGUCCCGCAACGAGCGCAACCCUUGUUCACUGUUGCCAGCACGUUAUGGUGGGGACUCAGUGGAGACCGCCGGGGUCAACUCGGAGGAAGGUGGGGAUGACGUCAAGUCAUCAUGCCCCUUAUGUCCAGGGCUUCACGCAUGCUACAAUGGCUGGUACAGAGAGUGGCGAGCCUGUGAGGGUGAGCGAAUCUCGGAAAGCCGGUCUCAGUUCGGAUUGGGGUCUGCAACUCGACCUCAUGAAGUCGGAGUCGCUAGUAAUCGCAGAUCAGCAACGCUGCGGUGAAUACGUUCCCGGGGCUUGUACACACCGCCCGUCAAGUCAUGAAAGUUGGUAACACCCGAAGCCGGUGGCCUAACCGUUGUGGGGGAGCCGUCGAAGGUGGGACUGGUGAUUAG